rnacentral:rRNA from 1 species
AUUGAACGCUGGCGGCAGGCCUAACACAUGCAAGUCGAGCGAGCGGGGGACGGGUGAGUAAUGUCUGGGAACAUGCCUGAUGGAGGGGGCUAACUACUGGAAACGGUAGCUAAUACCGCAUACCAUAGGAUGUGCCCCGAUGGGAUUAGCUAGUAGGUGGGGUAACGGCUCACCUAGGCGACGAUCCCUAGCUGGUCUGAGAGGAUGACCAGCCACACUGGGACUGAGACACGGCCCAGACUCCUACGUGCGUCAGCAGUGGGGAAUAUUGGACCAGUGGCGAAAGCCUGAUCCAGCCAUGCCGCGUGUAUGAAGAAGGUCUUCGGAUUGUAAAGCACUUUAAGUUGGGAGGCGUUACCUACAGAAUAAGCACCGGCUAACUCCGUGCCAGCAGCCGCGGUAAUAC